CACACACCAACACCUCACACGUUUUAUCAUCAAGUCCCUUGAGCUGUUCAAGCCUAAUAAUAUUUGAAAAGAGAUUCUAACCUCCUUAAGUGGACCCAUGUUCAGUAUAUUCUGGAACAGGUCGUACAUAAUUCUCAAUGUAAAGUUACCCUGAGAGAGCUUUUCCAGAAGUUCAGGCUGUUGAUCUUUAGGUACUACCUCUUGUAGCUUAUCAACAAAUCCAGACCAGUCACCCAUUCCUAUUGUACAUUACAUUAUCAAGAUUCUGACUCAACAACCCAUGAAAAGCCUUUCAUUACUCAACAAUGCCAUGAAAGUUACCUAAGAGACGGCUAACAAAUGGUUUGACGUCAAACACUUCAAACUCAUCCAUAUGCUCUCCUGUUCCGAUAAAUAUCACAGGACUUUUCGUAGCUGCAACACUAACAAAAUGACAAUGGAUCAAAUUCACUUUUCCAACUGAAAAAAGCCUACAAGAAUUUAUAUUGACCAUUUCAAGUACAUAGGACGAUUUAGUAGCUACAAGAUACUUACGCGCUAAGAGCACCACCACCCUUGGCAUGGCCGUCCAUCUUAGUAAUAAUUACAGCUCCAACAGCAACACUUUGCUUAAAGGCUUGAGCUUGAUCAAAUGCAGCUUGACCAAUACUGCUAUCCAUAACAAAUAUAACAAGAUCUGGUUUCUGUAAAGUGAAAAGACCAUGAUCAGAGUCUGCAACAUCAACCAGGAACAAAUAGAAGACUUCAAGGCAACAGAGCAUACCGUUGCUUCAGCAACUUGACGCAUUUCUUCAAAGAGAGUAGCUUCUUGUUUAUGGCGACCACUAGUAUCAACAAUAAUGAGAUCACAGUUUUCUUUCUUAAACGUAUCAACUCCCUCAACAGCAAUUUUCACAGGAUCGGAUUCCGUGUAGCUGCAAGAAUCACAACUCAGUAUUAGCGCAUUCUGCUACCACAGUACGCCCUAGAGAAUGGUUAUAAAUGUUAAUCCAGAAUGUCUUCUUUUUUCAUUUCUUUGUGUUACUGUCAUUGAAGUAAAUCCAAAUGACCAAAUCUACAAAUAGCAUAGUAGUAAUAAUUGCAAAUAGAAAGAGAAGAGACCACAAGACCUCAAAAGAUCCAUUUAUGCAUACUGUUGAACUUUUUGACAAAGAUGCAAAUUUUUUGACAGAGUGGCACUGUGUAAUGAGUUCCGAAAAAAGAGUCCAAGAAAAAACAGGCAAAGGGCUUAAAGUAGUAACCCCUAGAGGUAAGUGGCAUGCAGAGAACUAGAGAAGUAUGACAAAACCUAUUGGAUAAUGGGUUAAAGAAACAUAUUAAGAAACAGCAGUCCUUUUGAGUCCAGAUUUUUGCAGCUACUGACCUAAACAAAACCUAUUUCAUAAAUUUUGUGCCUUGUGUCUACCGUUUCAAAGAAAAUUCCAUCAUUUUUCACAGACACUCCUAAAAGUGAGCUAAUAAUAUCAUUUGGAAAUGCCACCAAGAAGAAAACUGAUAGUAAGAUAUAAUAUUAAUACUAUAUCGCAAAGAGGUUGACUUGAGUACCUUCCAUAAAAGGGGAUCUUAGCCUUGGUAGCAUUCUGUUUCAGCUGAUCGAAAGCACCGGCCCUGAAAGUAUCCGCACAAACUAGGGCUGGUUUGUAUCCUUUCUUCUGAUGAUAAUAAGCAUACUUAGUACAAGUUGUCGUCUUUCCAGCACCUAAAAACACAAUCACAAAAAAAUUGACAUUACAUCAAAAACAAACCCAAUUUGGACAUAAAGAAUAAACAUCGUCUAACAAAGACCUCACCUUGUAAUCCAACAAACAUAACUACACUAGCUUUAGCCUUUUUAGGAGCAAACGCAGGCUUUCCUGGAUCCAACAUCUUACAAAGUUCACUAAAGAUAGCCUGAGAGAAACAAUACAAGAAUCACAAACAAACCCAAUUACAUCGAAUUCCAAAAAUCGAUACUUUGGGAAAAAAAAAAAAAAAUGAAACCUGUUCAAUGAUCCGGCGUUUGUUGUGACCAGCUGCUAGAUCUUCAAGAUUGACGAUCUUCUUGAUAUUACUCUGCAUCUCCUUCACAAGAGGAAACGAAACAUCGGAUUGAAGCAGAGCACGAGUGAUCUCGUUCAAACAUUCAUUCAAAGCCUUCUCAUCGAUAAUUGUCACAUUGCUCAUCUGCUGUAUCGCGCGGGUAAUCCGCCCGCCUAGCUCCGCCAACACCAUUUUCGCUGCUUUGCGAAUUCAACAAAAGCUUGUUCGGAGGAGAAGAAUCAGAUUUGGGGGAAUUUAGAGCUAGGGUUUUGAUCUAAGAGAUAUCUUUGGUCGCGAUUGAGACAACGGAGAGAAGUUGAAAACUUGAUCCGAGGAUAUUAAUUUCUAAUUCCUCCUAUGUCCAUUAACCGGUACCGGUUAGGAGACGAAGCAAAUCUAAAUUUAUGGGCCUUACGAAGCUCACAAUAGGCCCAAUGGGUCAGGUGGUCUAUAGAUAUUAAACAAUGCAUCCAACUUUUUCUAUAUUUCCGAUUUCGAAAACGAAAAAAAUUGUGGAGGAAUAGUCCAUUUCGUAUAAUCCAAAAUUCCAAAUGUAGAAAAUCUAUCCAUAUAUACAUUUUUUGAUCACAAUUAGCAAAUAAAUCCUGAAGUUGAGAAGUAUUUACAAUGACAUGCCAUUAGCAUUAAUUAUUUAGAUUUGUUUUAUUUAAGUAAAGAUUUUUAAUUGAAAUUCAUUUCUCAUAUAUUUAGCAAAAGUCUCUACAAAAUCUUUCCUUAUCUAUUUAAGUAAACACAAACCAAGUGUCAAAGAAAAAAAGAAAAAUCAUAGAGAGGAAAAACUCUAAAACAGACGAUAAGUGGAAAAAAACCACCAAUUCCAGUAUUUCACCAUCUACAAUUUGUGUUUCACGAUUGUGAAGGACUGAAGGGAGGGAUAUUUGUUAGAGAACUAGAGAAAAUUAGGCUUCAGCUGAUCAAAAUCUUAACAAAGUAUCCAUAUAUUCUUAUAUAUUAACUGUAUAUCUUAAAUGCAUCUUUAAAUCAGAGAUUCUAAAACUAAUACUCCCUCUAUUUCGUUUUAGUUGUCGUUUAAAGUUUUUUCACACAAAUUAAGAAAACAUUAAAUUUGCUGUUUUACUCUUUAUUAAUAUAUUUUAUGAAAAAUUUCAUUGGCCAAAACAUUAAAACAGUAGGGAUAAAACUGGAAUUUUCACCAAACAUUUGCAUUGAAAACCUAAAACGACAACUAUUAUGAAACAAAAUUUAAAUCCUAAAACGACAACUAAACUGAAACGGAGGGAGUACUAAGUUAACGACCCUCAAAACUAAAGACAGAUGAAGGGGUUACAAAUUUUGGUGAACGUCAAAAAUGACUCUUAAUUCAUUCUUCUAUUGUUUGUUCUAUGUAAUUUCGAUUCAAAGGGAGUCAGAGGAUCUGUUCAAAGCUAAACCAGUAUUGUUACCCUAACUCUUUGUAUCAAAAAUGUUUUGAUUUUCAACAUAUAAUGUCCACGACUGGACCCAAGACAUUUUUUUGGCGAUCUAAUCAUUCUUUUGUUCCCAAAUCUCUUUUUGUAAAAUUGGAGAAAGAUUGCAAAUGUUUUACAAAUACAGGAGGGGAAACACUCUAAUAAUGACAACGUAACAAGGUCUAGUUUUUGGGUGUGCAAGAAAGAAACUACUUGUCUCCGCCACCGAACAUUCCCAUCAUGUCCUUGCCGGAACCCAUCUGCUUCAUGAGACUCUGCAGACCGCCCAUGCCACCAAUCUGCUUGAGCAUCUGCGGCGGUAGGACCUUGCUCAUGUGCUGUGCGUUCAUGUUUCUCGAGAGUGCACUCAUAUCUCCAUUCUUUGGGAUCUUGAGCCCUUUCAUCUUGCUCCAUAUCUUUGCUAGCAGCCUCUUGUACUCUUCCAACAUCUCCAUCACUUCUCUUACUUGCCUCCCUGACCCUCUUGCUAUCCGCAUCAUCCGUGACUCGUUAAACACCUUUGGGUUUGAGCUGUCCAGUUCUGCACAAACCACAAACCACCCAUCACUUUUUUGCCACUACUCUGAUUAUUUCUACUGAUACACUUUCUCCAAAUAAGAUAUAUUAUUGUUCUUACCAUCAUUUGUCAUAGAAUCCAUCAUUGUCAUGUACCGCUUUAUCUUCGCCUGGCUUUCUUUCUCAUGUCCUUUUGGCAUCAUUUCAGCACUAAUUCCAGGCAGCAUCGAGAAAACCUACACACACACCAACACCUCACACGUUUUAUCAUCAAGUCCCUUGAGCUGUUCAAGCCUAAUAAUAUUUGAAAAGAGAUUCUAACCUCCUUAAGUGGACCCAUGUUCAGUAUAUUCUGGAACAGGUCGUACAUAAUUCUCAAUGUAAAGUUACCCUGAGAGAGCUUUUCCAGAAGUUCAGGCUGUUGAUCUUUAGGUACUACCUCUUGUAGCUUAUCAACAAAUCCAGACCAGUCACCCAUUCCUAUUGUACAUUACAUUAUCAAGAUUCUGACUCAACAACCCAUGAAAAGCCUUUCAUUACUCAACAAUGCCAUGAAAGUUACCUAA
rnacentral:lncRNA from 1 species